AUGUUGAGAUGGAUGUGUGGCCACACGAGGAAGGAUCGAGUCCGGAAUGAUGAUAUACGAGAUAGAGUUGGGGUAGCACCAAUUGAGGAGAAGCUUGUCCAACAUCGUUUGAGAUGGUUUGGGCAUAUUCAGCGCAGGCCUCCAGAAGCUCCAGUGCAUAGCGGACGGCUAAAGCGUGCGGAGAAUGUCAAGAGAGGGCGGGGUCGACCGAUUUUGACAUGGGAGGAGUCCGUUAAGAGAGACCUGAAGGAUUGGAGUAUCGACAAAGAGCUAGCUAUGGACAGGGGUGCGUGGAAGCUUGCUAUCCAUGUGCCAGAGCCAUGA
rnacentral:rRNA from 1 species